CAGCUAAAAUAGAAUUUGGAAAACUGUGGGUAACCUCUUAAAUGACAAGAUAGUUAAAAGGGGAGCACACUUGGUGGGAAUACUCGGGGACUGGCUCCCUGCUGUAAGACCAGGGAUAGCACUGCUGGCUUUGCUUUCACAUGUGUUACGCCCCAGUUUUUGGCAACAGCCUGUGGAGAGGCCCACAGAUUUGGGCCAAAGUGGGGAUGGCACGAGCCAUGUGAGCUCAACCUUGGAUUUGGCA
rnacentral:snoRNA from 1 species